GUUAUGGCCAAGGCUUCUCGAAUAUGUGGUGCCAGUUCAGUACACUGGUACUUUGAAGACUCUCUGCAGAUGCCUUAGGGAGCUGGCUGAGAAAAAGCAGCAGGAAGGAGAAGAAGCUGCUUGCCUUGACUACGGUGGACCAGUGAAACUCCCUACACCCCAGGGGCUGCUGGCACGACUCCUGGUAGUAGCCUCGUC